UGGGGGGUUGAGGCGGAAGAACUCCCGGAACCGCUAGAGGCGGAGGUGCCGGAAGAUAUUUUGAAUGACUUCAAAUAAAGACCCUAAAGAUCUCGGGAAAAUCAGACGGGACAAAAGACGAGAGGUCGCGGGAGACCAAAUUAGAGGAAUGCAACAGAAGAAAAUGAAGGAGAAAAGGCCCCUAAAUGGCAAGAAGAAAAACGAAGGUUC
rnacentral:lncRNA from 1 species